AUCAUCACCAAGGAUUCAACCCAAAUAAUUGCUGAUGCCGCUUCGAAGGAUGAAAUACAAGCUAGGGUGCAACAAUUAAAGAAAGAACUAGCCGAGACAGAUUCUGUUUACGACACAGAAAAACUGGCAGAAAGGAUUGCCAAACUAUCUGGUGGUGUUGCAGUCAUUAAGGUUGGGGCUGCAACUGAGACUGAACUCGAGGAUCGCAAGCUACGUAUCGAAGAUGCCAAGAAUGCUACCUUUGCUGCCAUAGAGGAAGGUAUUGUACCUGGUGGUGGUGCUGCAUUAGUUCAUCUCUCGACUUGCGUCCCUGCAAUUAAGGAUAAGCUUGAAGACUCUGAAGAGCGCAUAGGAGCCGACAUUGUGC
rnacentral:lncRNA from 1 species